UGGUGCGAUCAUACCAGCACUAAUGCACCCGAUCCCAUCAGAACUCCGCAGUUAAGCGUGCUUGGGCGAGAGUCCCCUUUUUCAUUUU
rfam:Corchorus capsularis cultivar CVL-1 contig15105, whole genome shotgun sequence.